rnacentral:rRNA from 1 species
GUGCCAGCCGCCGCGGUAAUACCGGCAGCUCGAGUGAUGUCCAAUAUUAUUGGGCCUAAAGCGUCCGUAGCUGGCCGACCAAGUCUCCCGGGAAAUCCACCCGCCCAACGGGUGGGCGUCCGGUAGAAACUGGCCGGCUUGGAACCGUAAGGCUCGAAGGGUACGUUCGGGGUAGGAGUGAAAUCCCAUAAUCCCGCACGGACCACCGAUGGCGAAAGCACUUCGAGAAAACGGAUCCGACAGUGAGGGACGAAAGCCAGGGUCUCGAACCGGAUUAGAUACCCUAGUAGUCC